rnacentral:rRNA from 1 species
CCUACGGGGGGCUGCAGUGGGGAAUAUUGGACAAUGGGCGAAAGCCUGAUCCAGCCAUGCCGCGUGUGUGAAGAAGUCCUUCGGGUUGUAAAGCACUUUCAGUGGGGAAGAAAGCCUUGGGGCUAAUACCCUCGAGGAAGGACAUCACCCACAGAAGAAGCACCGGCUAACUCCGUGCCAGCAGCCGCGGUAAUACGGAGGUGCGAGCGUUAAUCGGAAUUACUGGGCGUAAAGCGCGCGUAGGCGGUCUGAUAAGCCGGUUGUGAAAGCCCCGGGAUCAACCGGGGAAAGGCAUCCGGAACUGUCAGGCUAGAGUGCAGGAGAGGAAGGUAGAAUUCCCGGUGUAGCGGUGAAAUGCGUAGAGAUCGGGAGGAAUACCAGUGGCGAAGGCGGCCUUCUGGACUGACACUGACGCUGAGGUGCGAAAGCGUGGGUAGCAAACAGGAUUAGAUACCCUGGUAGUC